CCUUCGGGGUGAGUGGCGGACGGGUGAGUAACACGUGGGAACGUACCUUUAGGUUCGGAAUAACUCAGGGAAACUUGAGCUAAUACCGGAUGUGCCCUUCGGGGGAAAGAUUUAUCGCCUUUAGAGCGGCCCGCGUCUGAUUAGCUUGUUGGUGAGGUAAAGGCUCACCAAGGCUACGAUCAGUAGCUGGUCUGAGAGGAUGAUCAGCCACACUGGGACUGAGACACGGCCCAGACUCCUACGGGAGGCAGCAGUGGGGAAUUUUGGACAAUGGGCGCAAGCCUGAUCCAGCCAUGCCGCGUGCGGGAAAAAGGCCUUCGGG
rnacentral:rRNA from 1 species